UACGUAGGUGGCAAGCGUUGUCCGGAAUUACUGGGUGUAAAGGGAGCGCAGGCGGGAAGCCAAGUCAGCUGUGAAAACUACGGGCUUAACUUGUAGACUGCAGUUGAAACUGGUUUUCUUGAGUGAAGUAGAGGUUGGCGGAAUUCCGAGUGUAGCGGUGAAAUGCGUAGAUAUUCGGAGGAACAUCGGUGGCGAAGGCGGCCAACUGGGCUUUAACUGACGCUGAGGCUCGAAAGUGUGGGGAGCAAACAGG
rnacentral:rRNA from 1 species